rnacentral:rRNA from 1 species
AUAAUGGGUCAGCGACUUAUAUUCUGUAGCAAGGUUAACCGAAUAGGGGAGCCGAAGGGAAACCGAGUCUUAACUGGGCGUUAAGUUGCAGGGUAUAGACCCGAAACCCGGUGAUCUAGCCAUGGGCAGGUUGAAGGUUGGGUAACACUAACUGGAGGACCGAACCGACUAAUGUUGAAAAAUUAGCGGAUGACUUGUGGCUGGGGGUGAAAGGCCAAUCAAACCGGGAGAUAGCUGGUUCUCCCCGAAAGCUAUUUAGGUAGCGCCUCGUGAAUUCAUCUCCGGGGGUAGAGCACUGUUUCGGCAAGGGGGUCAUCCCGACUUACCAACCCGAUGCAAACUGCGAAUACCGGAGAAUGUUAUCACGGGAGACACACGGCGGGUGCUAACGUCCGUCGUGAAGAGGGAAACAACCCAGACCGCCAGCUAAGGUCCCAAAGUCAUGGUUAAGUGG